rnacentral:rRNA from 1 species
GGAAUAUUGGGCAAUGGAGGAAACUCUGACCCAGCCAUGCCGCGUGAGUGAGAAGGUCUUCGGAUUGUAAAGCUCUUUUGUGCGGGAAGAUGAUGACAGUACCGCAAGAAAAAGCACCGGCAAACUUCGUGCCAGCAGCCGCGGUAAUACGAAGGGUGCGAGCGUUGUUCGGAAUUACUGGGCGUAAAGGGUGUGUAGGUGGAUAUGUAAGAUAGCGGUGAAAUGCCGAAGCUCAACUUCGGAAUUGCCGUUAUGACUAUGUAUCUAGAGUGACAGAGAGGAUAUUGGAAUACCCAGUGUAGAGGUGAAAUUCGUAGAUAUUGGGUAGAACACCGGUGGCGAAGGCGAGUAUCUGGCUGUCAACUGACGCUGAGGCACGAAAGCAUGGGGAUCAAACA